rnacentral:rRNA from 1 species
AACGUAGGGCCCGAGCGUUGCCCGGAAUCACUGGGUGUAAAGGGUGCGUAGGCGGGCGUGCGCGUCUGGGGUGAAAGGCUCCGGCUCAACCGGAGACAUGCCCUGGGUACGGCACGUCUUGGGUGCGGGAGAGGGCGAUGGAAUUCCUGGUGUAGCGGUGAAAUGCGUAGAUAUCAGGAGGAACACCGGUGGCGAAGGCGGUCGCCUGGCCCGCAACCGACGCUGAGGCACGAAAGCGUGGGGAGCGAACGGG